GAGGAAUGGCAGAGCGGUCGAAUGCGGCGGUCUUGAAAACCGUUGUACCGCAAGGUACCGGGGGUUCGAAUCCCUCUUCCUCC
rnacentral:tRNA from 1 species